rnacentral:rRNA from 1 species
AUUGAACGCUGGCGGCAGGCCUAACACAUGCAAGUCGAGCGGUAGCACAGAGAGCUUGCUCUCGGGUGACGAGCGGCGGACGGGUGAGUAAUGUCUGGGAAACUGCCUGAUGGAGGGGGAUAACUACUGGGAACGGUAGCUAAUACCGCAUAACGUCGCAAGACCAAAGUGGGGGACCUUCGGGCCUCAUGCCAUCAGAAGUGCCCAGAUGGGAUUAGCUGGUAGGUGGGGUAACGGCUCACCUAGGCGACGAUCCCUAGCUGGUCUGAGAGGAUGACCAGCCACACUGGAACUGAGACACGGUCCAGACUCCUACGGGAGGCAGCAGUGGGGAAUAUUGCACAAUGGGCGCAAGCCUGAUGCAGCCAUGCCGCGUGUGUGAAGAAGGCCUUCGGGUUGUAAAGCACUUUCAGCGGGGAGGAAGGCGGUGAGGUUAAUAACCUCACCGAUUGACGUUACCCGCAGAAGAAGCACCGGCUAACUCCGUGCCAGCAGCCGCCGUAAGAC